UCUGUUCUGUGUAUGCAAAUAGGUACAUAUGUAUACAUUAAAACAAAAACACUACGUGAUUUCUUCCCAUCUGUCCAGGUGGGAGUUAGCACGCACCCAUGUAAUUAAUCAAGGUGCGUACAAGCUGGCGUGGAUACCAAGAGAAGGUACAUUUGUAUAUAAUAUAUAAUAAGUGAAAAUUGUGAAUCUUUUUCUAAAGGGUCCAAUUUAGUGAAUUGAGUCUACUUAUGUAACGGAGUGGGCAUUGGCAGUGCAAAUUGGCAAAGGACAUGACCCGUUUGAUGGCCUUCCGUGAUUAUGUGGGUAACUGUAUUAUAAAGGUAAACUUUUCUCUUUCUUUGACUUAAAUUAUCAGGUAGCAGUCUGUUAGCUAAUAAUGUAUCAUAAACCUAUAUUCCUCGGACUCUUAAAAGUGUCUGUUGGGUGCGUGUAGGAUCCUCGAAAGUAGUGCAUUUUUUGGAGAAUCCUACACGGUCACACGGGUGCGGCAUCAUUUUUGGAGAGUCUGAGCAACAUAGUCAUAAACUAAAUCGAUGCAGUUAGUGUGUUGCUUGUAGAAUGGUGUAUGCACAUUUUAUGUCCAUCUCAUUAAUCCUAAAUGCUUCUAAAAAAUGUCACAAAAUCUCAAAUGCAUUAGGAAAUACUAGGAUAAAUCUGUAUAAGGCAUGCCAAAGACAACAUUACUGUCUUGAACAUGCUGCACUUUUUGGUAGUAAAAAAGUUCUUUAGUCUCAUUGAUAUAACUUUUCUCUGUUGCUACUCAUUUUCCUUCAUGUGUUAUCCUACACACAAAAUGAGGAUGUCAUUAUCGACUUAGUAGGACUUGCAAUUGCUUCUUUGCUCGUGUUCUUGAUAGGUCCGAAUCAUCUCUCUAACAAGUCGGAUGAAAUAAAGCAACCAGGUUAUAUUCAAAAGCUGUUCAAUUCUCUCGGCAAGAGUCAUUUGAUGUUUAUACAGCUAAAAUCGCACAGCUAUGAGGGGGAAAAAGGGAAGAAAGAAAACCAACAAUUCUACUAAGCAGAUACUAUGAGGAUGAACUGCAUAACCCUCUUCCUUUCAUUACAUACUUCCUUAUCCCUGGAAUGUGGACAUUGGAUAUGUAAUCUUUCCAAUCUAUGUUCUCCACAUCAAAACCAAACUGCCAUCGUUCUUCUUUAGACAUGCAUUCCAUCAACCACUGAGUGUUGCUGUUGUCAAAUCUGGCAAAUUUUCACUAUUUUAAUAGCCUGUUUGGCCAAGCUUCUGGGAAGCCAAAAGUGCUUAUUUAGAAAGUUGAGGUGUUUGGCCAAGCUUAUAGGGAAAUAAGUGCUUGUCCAAGCAGGCGAUAAGUCUCAGAAAUCCAAAAUAGGAUUACGAGGUAGAUAGCGAGGAUAAUAAACAAACUCUUACCUUCCUCCAUAAAAAGUGUAUGGUUCAUAGAUAUGUGCCAAGUACUUUGCUUGCUCCACUGAUUUUCUGCAGAUAUUCUCGAGUUUCCUUGACAACUUUCCGUUAGGAUCAGCCGUAUCUGUUAGCCCACUUCUGUUAAUAGCGUCUUGCCAGAGGUGGAAAGACAGGUCUUCCAUGGAGUUCAACAGCUUCAUUCUUGGAACAUGAAUAGGUCUUCCUUUGGAGUCAAUAUACGGUGAAGAAUUGAAGUGCUCGAAAAGCAACAUGGCCAGGUCCUUGAAGACUAAUGGAUUUACAACAGACGAAGCAACCUGGUAAAUGUUACUCCCCAGUUUUCCUGCUGCCCCGUGCUUUGCAAUAGCUGCCAACGUUGCGUUCACAACCAUGUCAGCUGGAACCUAAGUGGAAAGAGGUUUAUGCUUGUUAGAAUUAUGCUUUUGGACUGCAGUAACUUUAUUUUAUAGUUUAAGUUUUUUGUUAGCCAGUUAUUUCGAUGUUAAUCAAAGAGCUGUUCUGUGGAGAAA